GAUGAACGCUGGCGGCGUGCCUAAUACAUGCAAGUCGAGCGAACAGACGAGGAGCUUGCUCCUCUGGCGUUAGCGGCGGACGGGUGAGUAACACGUGGAUAACCUACCUAUAAGACUGGGAUAACUUCGGGAAACCGGAGCUAAUACCGGAUAAUAUAUUGAACCGCAUGGUUCAAUAGUGAAAGACGGUUUUGCUGUCACUUAUAGAUGGAUCCGCGCCGCAUUAGCUAGUUGGUAAGGUAACGGCUUACCAAGGCGACGAUGCGUAGCCGACCUGAGAGGGUGAUAGGCCACACUGGAAAUGAGACACGGUCCAGACUCCUACGGGAGGCAGCAGUAGGGAAUCUUCCGCAAUGGGCGAAAGCCUGACGGAGCAACGCCGCGUGAGUGAUGAAGGUCUUCGGAUCGUAAAACUCUGUUAUUAGGGAAGAACAAAUGUGUAAGUAACUAUGCACGUCUUGACGGUACCUAAUCAGAAAGCCACGGCUAACUACGUG
rnacentral:rRNA from 1 species